rnacentral:rRNA from 1 species
AAGUCGAACGGUAACAGGUCUUCGGAUGCUGACGAGUGGCGCACGGGUGAGUAACGCGUACAAAAUCUACCGUUUUAACUCGGGGGAAAGUCGGCUCGGAAACGGCGAAUAAUCCCGCAUAAGACCCCGAUGUCGCAUGGCAUUUGGUGGUAAAAGGCUUCGGCUGGUAAAAGAUGAUUGUGCGUUCCAUUAGCUAGAUGGUGAGGUAACGGCUCACCAUGGCGACGAUGGUUAGGGGGCGUGAGAGCGUGAUCCCCCACACGGGUACUGAGACACGGACCCGACUCC